rnacentral:rRNA from 1 species
GAUGAACGCUGGCGGCGUGCCUAAUACAUGCAAGUCGAGCGAACAGAUGAGGAGCUUGCUCCUCUGACGUUAGCGGCGGACGGGUGAGUCACACGUGUAUCACCUACCUAUCAGACUGGGAUCACUUCGGGACACCGGAUCUAAUACCGGAUAAUAUAUUGAACCGCAUUGUUCAAUAGUGAGAUACGGUUUUGCUGUCUCUUAUAGAUGCAUUUGCGCCGCAUUAGCUAGUUGGUACGGUCACGGCUUACCAAGGCAACGAUGCGUAGCCGACCUGAGAGGGUGAUCGGCCACACUGGAAGGGAGACACGGUCCAGACUCCUACGGGAGGCAGCAGUAGGGAAUCUGCCGCAAUGGGCGAAAGCAUGACGGAGCAACGCCGCGUGAGUGAUGAAGGCGUUGGGAUCGUAAAACUCUGUUAUUAGGGAAGAACAAAUGUGUAAGUAAACAUGCACGUAUUGACGGUACCUGAUAAGAAAGCAACGGCUAACUACGUG